rnacentral:rRNA from 1 species
UACAGAGGCCCCAAGCGUUACUGAGAAUCACUGGGUUUAAAGGGUGCGUAGGUGGCGCGUUAAGUCCGUUGUGAAAGCCCUGGGCUCAACCCAGGAACUGCUUCGGAUACUGGCGCGCUUGAGGCUAGUAGGGGUUACUGGAACUGACGGUGGAGCGGUGAAAUGCGUAGAUAUCGUCAGGAGCGCCAAUGGUGAAGACAGGUAACUGGGCUAGUUCUGACACUGAGGCACGAAAGCGUGGGGAGCGAACGGG